GCCCGGGUGGCGAAAUGGCAGACGCACGAGACUUAAAAUCUCGGGUAUGGCAACGUACGUGCGGGUUCGAGUCCCGCCCCGGGCACAA
rnacentral:tRNA from 1 species